rnacentral:rRNA from 1 species
CACCAGUGGCGAAGGCGGCUUUCUGGACUGUAACUGACACUGAGGCUCGAAAGCCAGGGGAGCGAACGGGAUUAGAUACCCCGGUAGUCCUGGCCGUAAACGAUGGAUACUANGUGUGGGAGGUAUCGACCCCUUCCGUGCCGGAGUUAACGCAAUAAGUAUCCCGCCUGGGGAGUACGGCCGCAAGGCU